CUUCCUCCACCUAGAGAUAAAAAAAAAUGUGGUACUAAUGUGAGUUUAGAGAAGUGCUACAAAUUCUUGAGGAGCUAGAUUCCUGCCUCUAGCAUCAAACUGAGCACUGCAUUGACAAGGAACAGGGGUGGACAAAGUGCAGACCACACUCUCACAGCCAUUUUUGCACACAUAUACCAAGAUGUCCUCUUGUCCAGAAGGAGGAGGAGCAGGAGGAGGAAGAAGAGCAGGAGGAAGAAGAAGAAGACGAAGAACUACUACUACUACUACUGGAUGCUGCCAGACCAACAGCCGCGGUGCAAGAACAAAGCAGUACCAACAAGGAAAAAUCAUGGCCACCUACAACAGCAGAAGCAGAGGGGAAAGCCUCUUCCUGAAAAAACUGCAUCCACAAAAUUCCAGCCCUGAACUGUGAUCUAAUUCUGUAAGAUACCAACCCUAUGGCCUUUAGGAUUUGACAACUCAAAGCAAAGUAAUGGAAUUAGAGAACCUACAAAUUAGAUCCAAUAACGUAUUAUAGAGCACUGAUUGAGGCUUCUUUCAGUUUUCUAGGGAUCAUUAUUAAAGGGCUGUGAAACCAUCUAGUUCUCAGAUUGAUGUGGCUAGGAUUAUUCAUAGGACUAGUUUGGGACACUGCCCUUAUGAUCAUGGAAUUCAUUUGCCUUUUAGGAUGUUAGCACACAGCUUAAUUUGAUUUAUUUCAUAACACCAUAAUGUUUUCAUGUCAGCAUGUGCUCCCUCAUGGCCAGGGAUCACUCAAGAAAGAGGGAAACUUAGUGGGGAUAUGGUAAGCAAAACAACUGAAAAGAGGGAGCAACUGCCAGAAAAGUGACUGCAAGAUGUUCUAAAGACUGUUUUUUGAAGGGUUUCACUUCCCAAUUAUCAAACCUGGAAGCAUGGCGGUCACCAGGCACUACAAACCCAACAGAAGCAAAAGCAACCAAUGUAUUUGCUUCCAUGAAUUCCUUCUUAGCCUUUCUUUUCUCGUUCUCAUUUUAUGUUUAUAUGGACUUUGGGAGAUGAAAGAGCAUUAAUGCCAUUCUGACCACUCAGAAAAUGAGGUAUCUGUUCACAGCCUUCAAACAAUAAGAUAGAAUCAUGUUCCUUGAUUCAUGUAUGUGCUUGAUUCAUGUAUAAAUUGAGUGGCAGUGUUCAUUUUUAGAUUGAAAGGGUAGUGUGAACAGAGUUGAAUCCUCUCCUUUCCUACAUGGCGCUUUCAACCCAGGCUGGUAGUGAGCCAAGCUGGGAGAAAAUGUCAUAGUGUGUCAUGACAAGGUAAGGUUUAGGGAAAGGCUCAGCUCCCCUCAAAUGCUUUGUCCCUAUUGUGGAAAGUUGGC
rnacentral:lncRNA from 1 species